UCUGCUAAUGGAAUAAGGUGUCAACCAGAU
rnacentral:piRNA from 1 species